rnacentral:rRNA from 1 species
GUGUCAGCAGCCGCGGUAAGACGAACCGUCCAAACGUUAUUCGGUAUCACUGGGCUUAAAGCGUGCGUAGGCGGCCUGGUAGGUGAGAUGUGAAAGCCCACGGCUCAACCGUGGAAUUGCGUUUCAAACCACCAGGCUUGAGGAUGGCAGGGGUGAUGGGAACUGAUGGUGGAGCGGUGAAAUGCGUUGAUAUCAUCAGGAACACCGGUGGCGAAGGCGCAUCACUGGGCCAUUUCUGACGCUGAGGCACGAAAGCUAGGGUAGCGAACGGGAUUAGAUACCCCGGUAGUCCUAGCUGUAAACGAUGAGCACUGGGUUGAGGGGACUUCCACAUCUUCUCGGCCGUAGCGAAAGCGUUAAGUGCUCCGCCUGGGGAGUAUGGCCGCAAGGCUGAA